rnacentral:rRNA from 1 species
GACGAACGCUGGGGCCGUGCCUAACACAUGCAAGUCGAACGGAGAUAUGAUUUCGGUUGUAUCUUAGUGGCGAACGGGUGAGUAACGCGUGAGCAACCUGACUCUUAGAGGGGGAUAACACCCGGAAACGAGUGCUAAUACCGCAUAAGACCACGACAUGGCAUCAUGACGAGGUCAAAGGAGCAAUCCGCUGAGAGAGGGGCUCGCGUCCCAUUAGAUAGAUGGCGGGGUAAUGGCCCACCAUGUCAGCGAUGGGUAGCCGAGCUGAGAGGCUGAUCGGCCACACUGGAACUGAGACACGGUCCAGACUCCUACGGGAGGCAGCAGUGGGGAAUAUUGGGCAAUGGGCGCAAGCCUGACCCAGCAACGCCGCGUGAGGGAAGAAGGCUUUCGGGUUGUAAACCUCUGUCCUUGGUGACGAAAAAAAUGACGGUAGCCAAGGAGGAAGCCCCGGCUAACUACGUG